rnacentral:rRNA from 1 species
GACGAACCGUGCGAACGUUGUUCGGAAUCACUGGGCUUAAAGGGCGCGUAGGCGGGUGAUCAAGUCAGGGGUGAAAUCUUUCGGCUCAACCGGAAAAUAGCUUUUGAUACUGAUUGCCUUGAGGGAGGUAGGGGCAUGUGGAACUUCCGGUGGAGCGGUGAAAUGCGUUGAUAUCGGAAGGAACGCCGGUGGCGAAAGCGACGUGCUGGACCUUUUCUGACGCUGAGGCGCGAAAGCUAGGGUAGCGAACGGG